rnacentral:rRNA from 1 species
UUUGACCUCAAAUCAGGUAGGACUACCCGCUGAACUUAAGCAUAUCAAUAAGCCGGAAGA